ACGGAAGGCAGCAGUGGGGAAUAUUGGGCAAUGGGCGAAAGCCUGACCCAGCGACGCCGCGUGAGGGAAGACGGUCUUCGGAUUGUAAACCUCUUUCAGCAGGGAAGAAGAAAGUGACGGUACCUGCAGAAGAAGUCACGGCUAACUACGUGCCAGCAGCCGCGGUAAUACGUAGGUGGCGAGCGUUAUCCGGAAUUACUGGGUGUAAAGGGUGUGUAGGCGGAGGAGCAAGUCAGGUGUGAAAAUUGCGGGCUCAACCCACAAACUGCACUUGAAACUGUUCCCCUUGAGAGUGGGAGAGGUAAACGGAAUUCCUGGUGUAGUAGUGAAAUGCGUAGAUAUCAGGAGGAACACCGGUGGCGAAGGCGGUUUACUGGACCACAACUGACGCUGAGACACGAAAGCGUGGGGAGCAAACAGGAUUAGAUACCCUGGUA
rnacentral:rRNA from 1 species